GCUGGCGUAGCUCAGUCGGUAGAGCAGCUGAUUCGUAAUCAGCAGGUCGGGAGUUCGAGUCUCCCCGCCAGCUCCA
rnacentral:tRNA from 1 species